CCCCCUUCACGCUUUCGGAGAGACUUUACCCGCCGCGGCCGGGAGGUGGGACUUUGGGGAGGGGGCGCGCGGGCGGACGCCCCAGCGCCUGCCGGCCCCCAGCCGCGUCCCGGGCAGCGACGUCAAGGCUUCCCCGCCUCCCCCUCCGCGGCUUCCCCCGCCCCCUCCGGUCCCCCUGCGCCCCCCUCGGAGGUGACUGAGACCUUCAGCUGUUCUGGGAGGGGAGGGGAGCCGCUGCCCGCGCUGGGAGGGGGGGGGGGUGGUGCGGGGCGGGAGUCGCGGGGCCGAGGCCGCGGCAGCUGGACACUGACCCGGAGCACCGCGGCUGGCAGGAGCGAGCGUGGAGCGCGGGAGGUGGGAACAGACGGGACUGACCUUGCUCACGAGAGCGAGAGGAGGUCCUGUCUGAGCCUGGCGCUGGAGCUGCCCUCGCGGGGCCCACCAUCUGAGGGAGGACGGAGGAGGGACAAGAGGAGGUCGCCAGGACAACACCCGUCUUGACAGAAGGACAUCAGUGUGGCACGACAGUGGAGGGAACGGCAGCCACUGUUGACAGGGCGGUGGGGACAGGUCUCCUCAGAGAGGGGACCCGGACUGACGACAGAGCGAGGAGGAGGAGCUACAGGCAGAGAUGCGAAGGGGGCCUCGGGCAGCCCUGUUGCAAUCUGCGUGCUGGCCGGGGCCCCGAGAGCGGCGACCAGGACCGACGCGGCCCAGCGGGGGACAGAGCAGCUUUCUGACCCGGCAUCACUGAACGGUCUCACGCGGCCCCCACAGCAGGCCGGCGCUUGUGAGCACUCGUUCGAAACCCGUCCCUGCCAGCUGCGCUCACUGCCCCUAAACUGAACCAAGAACACAGGGACGGACAGAUGAGCUUCCGUAAGGGUCUCGGUGAAGGUUUGGGAAGUCUUGACGGAGGCAUAUUGUGCAAAAGGAAAGUCGGUUGUCACCCUAGGCGUGAACGAGACACCUGUGACGGGGCUGGGGGGGACGGGACAUCAACGAAGCCUUCAAAGAUUAACGGGUGACAGAGCACGACCUCCAGAGCCAUUCUCUCUGCUGACAGUCAGGGGCAACUCAGCGGGAGCAUGGCUACCCCACGGAAAGACUACCUUUCCCAUCCUCCUUUGCAGCAGGACGUGGUCAGGUGGCUCAGCUCUGACCAAUGGGAUGUGAGCAGCAGGAUGUGCAGAACCCAGGGUGCAGCGGCCCUGAACGUCCCCCUCCCCUGCCCGCCCCUCUCCUCUCCGGCCAGGAUGUGAAGGUGGCACUGAGACACCAUGCAGUGAGGGCACCCCCCCCCCCCCCCCGCCGACAGCAGAACCAGGAAGAAGGCAGGUGCCUGGGCCCCGUGCUGUGGGGCCACCUUCCCUGUCCGGAUGGCUGUGCACAACUGUCACUGGAGAGAAAAGUAACCCCUGUGCAGUUGAAACCCUUGUUACCCGGGGUCCUAUCCACUGGCGGGGCUUGCGAUCUAGUAACCCGGACCAUGGAUACGUUUAAAUGAAAACAAACGAUUUCCCUCAUU